rnacentral:rRNA from 1 species
CACGCCGUAAACGAUGAGUGCUAGGUGUUAGGGGGUUUCCGCCCCUUAGUGCCGCAGCUAACGCAUUAAGCACUCCGCCUGGGGAGUACGCACGCAAGUGUGAAACUCAAAGGAAUUGACGGGGGCCCGCACAAGCGGUGGAGCAUGUGGUUUAAUUCGAAGCAACGCGAAGAACCUUACCAGGUCUUGACAUCCCGGUGACCACCAUGGAGACAUGGUUUUCUCUUCGGAGACAACGGUGACAGGUGG